rfam:Pleurotus ostreatus PC15 unplaced genomic scaffold scaffold_06, whole genome shotgun sequence.
GGCGCUAUGGCCGAGUGGUUAAGGCGAGAGAUUAGAACGAUGUCCGUUCGUCAAGUAAAUAUCUCUUCCGGUUUCCGGGCGCAGGUUCAAAUCCUGCUGGCGUCG